UGCAGUCGAACGGUAAGGCCCCUUCGGGGGUACACGAGUGGCGAACGGGUGAGUAACACGUGGGUGACCUGCCCUGUACUUCGGGAUAAGCCUGGGAAACUGGGUCUAAUACCGGAUAUGACCUUCCCCUGCAUGGGGGUUGGUGGAAAGCUUUUGCGGUACAGGAUGGGCCCGCGGCCUAUCAGCUUGUUGGUGGGGUAAUGGCCUACCAAGGCGACGACGGGUAGCCGGCCUGAGAGGGCGACCGGCCACACUGGGACUGAGACACGGCCCAGACUCCUACGGGAGGCAGCAGUGGGGAAUAUUGCACAAUGGGCGAAAGCCUGAUGCAGCGACGCCGCGUGAGGGAUGACGGCCUUCGGGUUGUAAACCUCUUUCAGUAGGGACGAAGCGCAAGUGACGGUACCUACAGAAGAAGCACCGGCCAACUACGUGCCAGCAGCCGCGGUAAUACGUAGGGUGCGAGCGUUGUCCGGAUUUACUGGGCGUAAAGAGCUCGUAGGCGGUUUGUCACGUCGUCUGUGAAAACCCGAGGCUUAACCUCGGGCCUGCAGGCGAUACGGGCAGACUUGAGUACUGUAGGGGAGACUGGAAUUCCUGGUGUAGCGGUGGAAUGCGCAGA
rnacentral:rRNA from 1 species